rnacentral:rRNA from 1 species
CAGUAGCCACGGGAAUACAGAGGGUGCGAGCGUUAAUCGGAUUUACUGGGCGUAAAGCGUGCGUAGGCGGCUUUUUAAGUCGGAUGUGAAAUCCCUGAGAUUAACUUAGGAAUUGCAUUCGAUACUGGGAAGCUAGAGUAUGGGAGAGGAUGGUAGAAUUCCAGGUGUAGCGGUGAAAUGCGUAGAGAUCUGGAGGAAUACCGAUGGCGAAGGCAGCCAUCUGGCCUAAUACUGACGCUGAGGUACGAAAGCAUGGGGAGCAAACAGGAUUAGAUACCCGGGUAGUCCCUGUCUCUUAUAA